rnacentral:rRNA from 1 species
GAUGAACGCUGGCGGCGUGCUUAACACAUGCAAGUCGAACGAUGAUCCCGGUGCUUGCACCGGGUGAUUAGUGGCGAACGGGUGAGUAACACGUGAGUAACCUGCCCCCGACUCUGGGAUAAGCCCGGGAAACUGGGUCUAAUACCGGAUAUUCACUUCCUUCCGCAUGGGAGGUGGUGGAAAGAUUUAUCGGUGGGGGAUGGACUCGCGGCCUAUCAGCUUGUUGGUGGGGUAAUGGCCCACCAAGGCGACGACGGGUAGCCGGCCUGAGAGGGUGACCGGCCACACUGGGACUGAGACACGGCCCAGACUCCUACGGGAGGCAGCAGUGGGGAAUAUUGCACAAUGGGCGAAAGCCUGAUGCAGCGACGCCGCGUGAGGGAUGACGGCCUUCGGGUUGUAAACCUCUUUCAGUAGGGAAGAAGCGAAAGUGACG